CCUGGGCAUGUGCAGAGGGCAGCCAAGACCUCUUGCCUCUUUCUCUGAAGAUGCUGCUUCCUUGCCUGCCCAAACUCCAAAAUAAACAUUUGGCUGUUAAAAGGAAUCAGAGCGCGGAGGGAAAAGACAAUGUUAGGAAGGAAUCUUUCCUUUCCACUUGUUUUUCCUUCCCUUCUUUUCCGACUUCCACUCUCCCUAAUUUAAUUCCAGCUCCUCCCAGCUCUGCAUGGCCCCCUCCACCCAGCCCCUCCCACCACCAUCCCAGAAGAGAGAGAGAGAGAGAGAGAGAGAGAGCCCUUCUAGUCAACACCAAUCUCGCCUCGCCUGUCCCAAACAUCUUUCCCUCUUCUCCACCCCGCAAUCGUUUUAAGGUGGUGCGCUCAGAACCUUUAGCCACCCUCCUUUUUGUUUUUCCCUUUCCCCCCCCCCCAGUUCCUGCAACUGAUGGGAAAAGUCGCCCCUUUGUACGAGAAUCCACCUGCAAAGGACUGUGAGCCCAAGAAUUUUUCCGAUGCCCACCAGAGGCAAAAGUCGAGUCAAGACAAGCUCAACACCUCCUUGCAUCCACGCNGUUUUCUUGGCAGCCACACAGAAGUGGUUUGUCUCCUCCUUCUGUGGAGGUGCUAGGGAUGGAACAAUGGACUUUCCACAUUCAAAGCAGAUGCUCUUGAGCUGACCUCAAUGCCUGAUGUACCACGGAGACAUCUAUGCAGUUUUCUUUGCAACCAUGNAGAAGUGGUUUGCCAUGACCUUCUUCCACCGGGAUGAGAGGUGUCAUCUGAGGUACCUUUGAUCCAUCUUCCUUUCAAGGUGAUCCUCUUCCCCAACUGUUAUGAUCUCUUNAAGACACAGAGGCAGUCUGGUCAAGUUCAGCUCGUGACUAACCCCAUACCCAGAUGGACACAGUUUUCUUGGCAAAGAAACAGAAGUGGUUGGCCAUUUCUUUCUUCCAGCUGGGGACUGUACUUGGAGAGGUCUGCGUGCGAAGCCGAUGCUUCCUUGCUCAAGAAAUCCCUCAAGAAAUCAGAUCCGAAUGUUGACUUUUCUUUCUCGAUGGUGUGAGAUAAUUCAAUAAAAGACAGGCUCCCCAUAAAGUGGAAAAAUCC
rnacentral:lncRNA from 1 species